CAGGAAUCCAAGGAGAGCCAAGGGUCUGGGAGGCUGCCCUCCUCAAGGAUGGUCUUCUCAGCUCAGCCCUGCUGCAAGCAGAAAUUUCAGGACUGCAGAAUCAGGCUGAUUAAAUCAUAAGGCUUGUCCUGGCAAGGGCACCUGGAGCCACUCCUGACAAACUCCUGGAAUACCUCUUCAAAGUUUGGGGAAAAAUGAUGCCUACAGUAAAUGAGGUGGAGAUGAUGGAAAUUCCUUGGCAGAGGAAGAAGUCAAAGGCUCAGAAAGGUGGGCCUAUUAGAACUGACUUAUUUAUGCAACACCAGAGAAUCACCAGAUGACUGUGUUUCUCAGGAAGGCCAUGGCUAUUGGCCAAGUAGGAAAUACUGCUGGGAAAACUGGGCUCCCCGGUGUCAAGGAGGAUGGUAGAAUUCUGGAGUAGCAGAAGCAAGUUGAGAACAUAUAAUUGUCAGAACGAAGGUAGGAUCGGUGGAAUUAAUUUGCUGUUUUAAUUGCCACAAUAAGCCUAGAGGAAAACAGGUUGGUGCAGUUAUCCUGAUGGAUAACAAGGUCAGAGUGACAGCCAAGGGGCCUUGACCCACAGGAAUCUGUGCCAAAGACUAACACACCAUGGUAUCCUAGGAGCAAGACGUAAGGGCAGGUGAUCGCUUGAUUUAUAUAUCCAAAAACGAUCUUGAGUCAGUCAGUACCACAAUGGGAAAUCACAGUCUCUUGUCUAGUUUCAAGAGCUGAGGCAGUUUUCAGACUCAGAAUCCAUUGAUUGAAGGGCCACGUCCCCUUGAAGAAAGUUUCUGAAACACCAUAGCAAGUAGUUACCAUAGCUAUGAACAAUCCUUCCUCAAAAGGACCUCCAGACAUUUACCAGAUUACCUAUCCACUGGGGAAAGUGAAUACUCAGGUAUUUUGAAAGCUGUGGAUAAGUCAACAUGAAUACCAAGCAACCCAAAAUAGCAUCAGCCUCUUUAUUAGAGUGGGGAUGAUUAGAGGACAAUUGAUAAGUGGAGUCCUACCCCAAGUCAGGGGGCUGUGGGAUGUUUAGCAACUGGAAGAACCCUCACAUUGGUUCUCUGUGGCGUGAGUCUUUAUGGUAGGAAAGGCUAAGUUGAAACCCCUAAAAGUCCUCCCUGAUCUCCAUCCCUGGGCAAAGAUAGUAAGUUAAAAGACUAGAACAUCCUCCAGGGAUUCAUGGCACCCUCAACCAUCUGAAGCAUGCAGCAGUGAUGCUCUCCAUAGUAACCCAUUCAGUUCACCAGAUUGAUCCUUGCUUAAAGUAUACAGAUCAUGGGCGAUAAUGAUGGACCUUGAUUGCCUGGACAUUCUGGUCACUGGUCCACUGUAUUGAUGACACCAUGCCAACUGGACCUGCUAACAGAAAGUGGCAAGAGUUUUGAAUGCCUAAGUAAGAGAUGUGCA